AUUGAACGCUGGCGGCAGGCCUAACACAUGCAAGUCGAGCGGAUGAAGGGAGCUUGCUCCUGGAUUCAGCGGCGGACGGGUGGGUAAUGCCUAGGAAUCUGCCUGGUAGUGGGGGAUAACGUCCGGAAACGGGCGCUAAUACCGCAUACGUCCUGAGGGAGAAAGUGGGGGAUCUUCGGACCUCACGCUAUCAGAUGAGCCUAGGUCGGAUUAGCUAGUUGGUGGGGUAAAGGCCUACCAAGGCGACGAUCCGUAACUGGUCUGAGAGGAUGAUCAGUCACACUGGAACUGGGACACGGUCCAGACUCCUACGGGAGGCAGCAGUGGGGAAUAUUGGACAAUGGGCGAAAGCCUGAUCCAGCCAUGCCGCGUGUGUGAAGAAGGUCUUCGGAUUGUAAAGCACUUUAAGUUGGGAGGAAGGGCAGUAAGUUAAUACCUUGCUGUUUUGACGUUACCAACAGAAUAAGCACCGGCUAACUUCGUG
rnacentral:rRNA from 1 species